AGAGUUUGAUCCUGGCUCAGGAUGAACGCUCGUGGCAGGCUUAACACAUGCAAGUCGAGGGGCAGCGCGGGGCGGCAACGUCCUGGCGGCGACCGGCGGAAGGGUGCGUAACGCGUGAGCGACAUGCCCGUUGCCCGGGGACAACCGGUGGAAACGCCGACUAAUCCCCGAUGGGAUACGAUGCUUCAUGGCAUUGUAUUGAAAGUUACGGCGGCGACGGAUUGGCUCGCGUCCGAUUAGCUUGUUGGCGGGGUAACGGCCCACCAAGGCUACGAUCGGUAGGGGUUCUGAGAGGAAGGCCCCCCACAUUGGAACUGAGACACGGUCCAAACUCCUACGGGAGGCAGCAGUGAGGAAUAUUGGUCAAUGGACGAGAGUCUGAACCAGCCAAGUAGCGUGCAGGAUGACGGCCCUAUGGGUUGUAAACUGCUUUUAUAAGGGAAUAAAGUGAGUCUCGUGAGACUUUUUGCAUGUACCUUAUGAAUAAGGACCGGCUAAUUCCGUGCCAGCAGCCGCGGUAAUACGGAAGGUCCGGGCGUUAUCCGGAUUUAUUGGGUUUAAAGGGAGCGUAGGCCGGAGAUUAAGCGUGUUGUGAAAUGUAGAUGCUCAACAUCUGAACUGCAGCGCGAACUGGUUUCCUUGAGUACGCACAAAGUGGGCGGAAUUCGUGGUGUAGCGGUGAAAUGCUUAGAUAUCACGAAGAACUCCGAUUGCGAAGGCAGCUCACUGGAGCGCAACUGACGCUGAAGCUCGAAAGUGCGGGUAUCGAACAGGAUUAGAUACCCUGGUAGUCCGCACGGUAAACGAUGGAUGCCCGCUGUUGGUCUGAAUAGGUCAGCGGCCAAGCGAAAGCAUUAAGCAUCCCACCUGGGGAGUACGCCGGCAACGGUGAAACUCAAAGGAAUUGACGGGGGCCCGCACAAGCGGAGGAACAUGUGGUUUAAUUCGAUGAUACGCGAGGAACCUUACCCGGGCUUGAAUUGCAGAGGAAGGAUUUGGAGACAAUGACGCCCUUCGGGGCCUCUGUGAAGGUGCUGCAUGGUUGUCGUCAGCUCGUGCCGUGAGGUGUCGGCUUAAGUGCCAUAACGAGCGCAACCCCUCUCCUUAGUUGCCAUCAGGUCAUGCUGGGCACUCUGGGGACACUGCCACCGUAAGGUGUGAGGAAGGUGGGGAUGACGUCAAAUCAGCACGGCCCUUACGUCCGGGGCUACACACGUGUUACAAUGGCAGGUACAGAGAGACGGUCCCUUGCAAAAUGGAUCAAAUCCUUAAAGCCUGUCUCAGUUCGGACUGGGGUCUGCAACCCGACCCCACGAAGCUGGAUUCGCUAGUAAUCGCGCAUCAGCCAUGGCGCGGUGAAUACGUUCCCGGGCCUUGCACUCACCGCCCGUCAAG
rnacentral:rRNA from 1 species